rnacentral:rRNA from 1 species
UACGGAGGGUGCAAGCGUUAUCCGGAUUUACUGGGUUUAAAGGGUGCGUAGGUGGGUCUGUAAGUCAGUGGUGAAAUCUCCGAGCUUAACCCGGAAACUGCCAUUGAUACUAUUUGUCUUGAAUACUGUGGAGGUCAGCGGAAUAUGUCAUGUAGCGGUGAAAUGCUUAGAUAUGACAUAGAACACCAAUUGCGAAGGCAGCUGGCUACACAAAUAUUGACACUGAGGCACGAAAGCGUGGGGAUCAAACAGG